AUGCCCCGCGCCUGGCAGCUCGUGCGUGCGCUUUGUCGUACUGCGUCCUUUCGCUUCGGCCACCGCGGGGAGCAGUCGUGCCGUGCUGCCGCUCCAGUGGGCCUGCUUUGUUCACGCUAAAUUUGUUGCUCAAGGCUCCAGAGAGGAGAUGAGCCCUAGCCCCUGGUGUGGGAGACUCAGGGACCUGAGAGAGCAAUGUCACCGCAGACCAGACCAGCCGAUCACGGCUCACCAAGUGCUGCGCCGCCAUAGGCAUGGACCAGGCUCAACCAGCCGAUCACAGGUUGCUGCGAGUGUGCUCAAGGCUCCAGAGAGGAGAUGAGCCCUGGCCCCUGGGUGUGUGUGGGAGACUCAGGGACCUGAGAGAGCAAUGUCACCGCAGACCAGACCAGCCGAUCACGGCUCACCAAGUGCUGCGCCGCCAUAGGCAUGGACCAGGCUCAACCAGCCGAUCACAGGUUGCUGCGAGUGUGCUCAAGGCUCCAGAGAGGAGAUGAGCCCUGGCCCCUGGGUGUGUGUGGGAGACUCAGGGACCUGAGAGAGCAAUGUCACCGCAGACCAGACCAGCCGAUCACGGCUCACCAAGUGCUGCGCCGCCAUAGGCAUGGACCAGGCUCAACCAGCCGAUCACAGGUUGCUGCGAGUGUGCUCAAGGCUCCAGAGAGGAGAUGAGCCCUGGCCCCUGGGUGUGUGUGGGAGACUCAGGGACCUGAGAGAGCAAUGUCACCGCAGACCAGACCAGCCGAUCACGGCUCACCAAGUGCUGCGCCGCCAUAGGCAUGGACCAGGCUCAACCAGCCGAUCACAGGUUGCUGCGAGUGUGCUCAAGGCUCCAGAGAGGAGAUGAGCCCUGGCCCCUGGGUGUGUGUGGGAGACUCAGGUAAAGUGGGGGGGCGGUGCUGUUGGGUUGGGU